rnacentral:misc_RNA from 1 species
AGUCGUAACAAGGUUUCCGUAGGUGAACCUGCGGAAGGAUCAUUACUAAAUCCAAUUCAAUGAUUAAAACCAUGUUGAAACGCGCGAUGAUUGUUGCAGUGUUGAGAGUGUGUGUGCGUGUGGUGUUGUGGGUGUGAGAUUAGGUGCUUGCACCAAACCGCCCCCCUCUGCGCACGUAUACUGGCGAUCACGCUGCAACAAUAUAUCACAUUAUUAAACACCCUUUGUUCCACCAAUGACAGUUAUAUUAUACAUACAUACAUAAAAAGCAUAACUUUUAACAAUGGAUCUCUUGGCUCUU